UUUCCGUAGGUGAACCUGCGGAAGGAUCAUUAACGAGUUAGGGACUUCUAGGCCCUACCUCACAACCCUAUGUUUAUUGAACCUCUGUUGCUUCCGCGGACCCGCCUCACGGCCGCCGGAAGACCGCUGCAAGGCGUCCUUUGGCCUGCGUCCGCCGAUGAUCAAUCACUUAAAUUCUGAAUGAAUCGUGUCAUAUGUCUAAGUCUAUGAUUAAAUGAAAGCAAAACUUUCAACAACGGAAAUCUUGGUUCUAGCAUCGAUGAAGAAAGCAGCAGAUCG
rnacentral:misc_RNA from 1 species